rfam:Drosophila persimilis strain MSH-3 cont1.003706, whole genome shotgun sequence.
UGGCAUUGGCUCUUGGCACUGGGAGAAUUCACAGUUGGUUUUCAUAUAUUCUGUGGUUCUGCGGGUGCCCAAAAUCGAAUGUUC